rnacentral:rRNA from 1 species
AUUGAACGCUGGCGGCAGGCCUAACACAUGCAAGUCGAACGAGCGGCGGACGGGUUAGUAAUGUCUGGGAAACUGCCCGAUGGAGGGGGAUAACUCCUGGAAACGGUAGCUAAUACCGCAUACCAUCGGAUGUGCCCAGAUGGGAUUAGCUAGUAGGUGGGGUAACGGCUCACCUAGGCGACGAUCCCUAGCUGGUCUGAGAGGAUGACCAGCCAAACUGGAACUGAGACACGGUCCAGACGCCUACGGGAGGCAGCAGUGGGGAAUAUUGCACAAUGGGCGCAAGCCUGAUGCAGCCAUGCCGCGUGUAUGAAGAAGGCCUUCGGGUUGUAAAGUACUUUCAGCGAGGAGGCGUUACUCGCAGAAGAAGCACCGGCUAACUCCGUGCCAGCAGCCGCGGUAAUUC